CCUGCCUGUGCAGGUCGGGAUGUGACCGGCGAGACCUUCGGUCUCGUGGAGGCGGCACCGCCGCCGGGUUGAACCACGCA
rnacentral:ncRNA from 1 species